CCUCGACUCCUUAUAUUGCAGUUAGGAACGUUAUAGUAUAACGAUUCGUGCUGAGGAAAUCCGUUACUUCGUGAUUUUGGAACUGUUUGAAAUUCGGUAGACCGCAAUAA